CUGCGGAAGGAUCAUUGUCGUUGCCUCUCGAAAAACACGACCGUUGCACACGUGACAGAAYGCUGCCGGGGAGGUGCUCGCUGCCUCCCCGGCCCCACCGGCCUCUUCCCUCACGCCCUCCGGGGCGCGUCGGUYGCUGGYCGGAAUACGGCGCGGGAUGACGCCAAGGAACACGAGAAAGYCGAGGCGCCGGCGAGCCGCUCAGCGACCGCGCCGGGYGCCGAGGCCAAUGAAAAAAAUAC
rnacentral:misc_RNA from 1 species